rnacentral:rRNA from 1 species
UGGGGAAUAUUGCNCNAUGGGCGCAAGCNUGAUGCAGCCAUGCCGAGUGUGUGAAGAAGGCCUUCGGGUUGUAAAGCACUUUCAGCGGGGAGGAAGGCGGUGAGGUUAAUAACCUCACCGAUUGACGUUACCCGCAGAAGAAGCACCGGCUAACUCCGUGCCAGCAGCCGCGGUAAUACGGAGGGUGCAAGCGUUCAUCGGAAUUACUGGGCGUAAAGCGCACGCAGGCGGUCUUUCAAUUUGGAUGUGAAAUCCCCGGGUUCACCCUGGGAAAUGCAUUCGAAACUGGCAGGCUAGAGUCUCGUAGAGGGGGGUAGAAUUCCAGGUGUAGCGGUGAAAUGCCUAGAGAUCCGGAGGAAUACCGGUGGCGAAGGCGGCCCCCGGGACAAAGACUGACGUUCAGGUGCGAAAGCGUGGGGAGCAAACAGGCUUAGAUACCCUGGUAGUCCACGCUGUAAACGAUGUCGAUUUGGAGGUUGUGCCAUCGAGGAACGGUUUCCGGAGCUAACGCGUUAAAUCGACCGCCUGGGGAGUACGGCCGCAAGUCA